rnacentral:lncRNA from 1 species
GAGGCUUGCAACUCACCUUGAGAAAGUUGCUACUCGAUGUUACAAGUGUAUAGACCUGUGGACUGCAAGUUCAACUCUGAUAUUCGGAGUCAGGUGCUACACUCAUGUGGUAUUUGUUGUAAAAUCUUCUGAAUGUAUUGUUAAAUAGUUACUAAGAAUGGGACAGUGGAUUAUCAAAAGACAUUAGAAGGGUGUUCAAAAUAAUCCCUUGCCAUGCUAGAGCAUGGGUAAUCUGGAAAGAAAUAAAUAGGAUCAAGGGAUGAGAUGUGAACUCGACUUAGAAGUACAACGGCGUGUGGCUGACAAAAAGUAGACACAUGGAGAUUAAUUACCAUUUUAGUCAUUCAAUUUUAAUGAAUAACAUUACUAUUGUGACAUCACUUUUUUUUCAAAUGAAAGAAAAAAAAGGAGAAACGAAAGGAGAGAAGGGUGAGAAACUGUUAUUUUGCAGAUAUACGGCUGUGAUGACAGAUGUUGGUUUCAAUUUACAAAAAGACCGUUUAAUGAAGUUUACAGAAUCUAUGCCAAAAAAAAAGUACAUAUAUAUGGAAUCAAGAUUACCUUCCAUGUGCUCAGUUCUUCUUUCUCAAUCCAUUCUUUUAUUGCAUAAACCUCAUUUUAUAUAGUGAACCAACAGACAGGUUUGUAUAAGGAUGUCAUGUAAAUUUCACUCAUGGGAAAUCAAAAUUCCUGAUAGACCACAGUCAACAUGCAGAAUUUUAAAGAGCAUUACUUUGAAUACAAAUGAAUGAUAGUACUCACACACAUUUUUAUUUCCUAUGUAUGAGAGCACGAGGCUUUAACACGAGUACAGGGGUUUCCUUGGGGCUUAAGAGCUAUGAGCAGAGACUAUCCCUGUUUGAUGUUUUUUGAACUUACCUGACAUGCAUGAUGUGGCAAA